GACGGGGGGGGCAAGUGUUCUUCGGAAUGACUGGGGUAAAGCGCACGUAGGCGGCUUUGUAAGGUAGAGGUGAAAGCCCAGGGCUUAACCCUGGAAUUGCCUUUAAGACUGCAUCGCUAGAAUCGUGGAGAGGUGAGUGGAAUUCCGAGUGUAGAGGUGAAAUUCGUAGAUAUUCGGAAGAACACCAGUGGCGAAGGCGACUCACUGGACACGUAUUGACGCUGAGGUGCGAAAGCGUGGGGAGCAAACAGG
rnacentral:rRNA from 1 species